UGAAGACAUCACAUGGGGGAUGAACUUGAAAAACUCUAGUAUUUUUCUCUCUAAAAAAUCGGCUCACAUGGGUGGUCCAUUAGGGAAUUUCAAGAUCAUUUUUCAAGUGCAAGAACUCUCUAAAAUGUUCUAUAAUUUUCGGCAAUGUAUGGUUGAUUAUGAGGGAUUUUUCAAGUGAGUUCAUGAGUAUAAAAUCCUAGCUAAAUCAAAGUGUUUGUUGGAAGGCUUGGGGUAUAUAAGCUUGAGGUCUUCUACACUUGAAGGCAACCAUUCAAGAAGCAUCACCUUCUUCAUAUCCUUUACUCCUUGGAAGGAACGUGUUAAGCAAAGGAUGAACCAAUAUGGUCAGCAAGUCAGGUCGGAGAUGAAGUUUUCCUCAAAAGCAUUCUAAACUCUACCGAGACUGUAGCAAGAGGAAGGGUCCAGAGCUUGGACCCAAAUGAUCUAGUUGGUGGUACAAAGAUUGGACCAGAAUGGUGUGAGGUAGUCCAUGAGGAUUGAGGACGCAUAAUGACUCAAGAUUUUUUCUUCUUGUUUCUUAAUUGCUUUUAAUUUUUUUGUUAAAUGUCAAGACUUUAUGUUAUAUAAUGUUAUAACUUAUUUAUGAUUAGUGUUUUUG